UACGUAGGGUGCAAGCGUUUGUCCGGAAUUAUUGGGCGUAAAGAGCUCGUAGGCGGCUUGUCGCGUCGGCUGUGAAAACCUGAGGCUCAACCUCAGGCCUGCAGUCGAUACGGGCGGACUUGAGUACUGCAGGGGAGACUGGAAUUCCUGGUGUAGCGGUGAAAUGCGCAGAUAACCAGGAGGAACACCGGUGGCGAAGGCGGCUCUCUGGGCAGAUACUGACGCUGAGACGCGAAAGCAUGGGGAGCAAACAGG
rnacentral:rRNA from 1 species